rnacentral:rRNA from 1 species
UACGUAGGGUGCGAGCGUUGUCCGGAAUUAUUGGGCGUAAAGGGCUCGUAGGCGGUUUGUUGCGUCGGGAGUGAAAACUUACAGCUUAACUGUGAGCGUGCUUCCGAUACGGGCAGACUUGAGGUAUUCAGGGGAGAACGGAAUUCCUGGUGUAGCGGUGAAAUGCGCAGAUAUCAGGAGGAACACCGGUGGCGAAGGCGGUUCUCUGGGAAUAUCCUGACGCUGAGGAGCGAAAGUGUGGGGAGCGAACAGG